rnacentral:misc_RNA from 1 species
GAUGAAGAACGCAGCGAAAUGCGAUACGUAAUGUGAAUUGCAGAAUUCAGUGAAUCAUCGAGUCUUUGAACGCACAUUGCGCCCGUCAGUAUUCUGACGGGCAUGCCUGUCCGAGCGUCAUUUCAACCCUCAAGCACUGCUUGGCGUUGGCGGAUUGCGUGCCCUCGCGGCGCUGCAACCGCCCAAAUACAGUGGCGGUCCCGCUGCGGCUCCCUUUGCGUAGUAACUCACCUCGCACUGGACCGGGCGGCGGCCUGCCGUAAAACCCCAACUCACGAAAUGUUGACCUCGGAUCAGGUAGGAAUACCCGCUGAACUUAAGCAUAUCAAUAAGCGGAGGA